UCAGCCCUGGGUGUGUGUCACAUGGUUAGUCUCUGGAUGGUCACCUGGCAGCCCGGACAGCAUUCCUUCUCUUCAGCCACAGCCAGUGACUGCUCAUUUCGGCGGCAUUAGCAAGUGCUUUGAUUGCCUUCCCAUGGGCCUGUCCUCUGACUCCUAUUUCCCUCAGCAGCCUUACGGUGGAACUGGCUAUGAAGCCCCUGCACCCCACCUCGACUGGGCACACUUUUACGUUCCAGCCUCGCUCCUCUGCUUCAACUGCAAGGUUGGCAUAUCGCAGCCUUUUUGGUUCGUAAGCCUCAUCCACAGCAUCCUCCCAGGGGAUCGUCUGCUCAGUCAUAAAGACGUGCCGACAGGAGUAGGACCAAAGGACCGGGUCAAGCCACAGGUUGGUCGUUGCAAUUUCAGAUGGGAAGGGUUCUUCUGAAGACCCUGACCUGGAGUUACAUGCAAGCUUUGGUUCUUUGGGGAAUGGGACCCUUUCUCAGUGUUCCAUGACUGGCCAUUAUUUGACAUGCUAAGGGUUUGGCCUGAGAGUCUUGAUUGUGUUCAGAAGCCUAAGAUCUCAGGGUCUGGAGACGGGUGGAUUGAGAGUCGGUAUCAUGGCAGGAGAUUUGUGUUUCAUCGGGGAGACCGGAAAAUUUUUCGCUGUGGGCCCGAAGUCCCGAGGUCUUUGCAAUCUUCAGGCACAGAGCUUGAAAAAAGCGACAAAACGGAUUCCUAACAUCGUAAACCAGCAGGUUGUUGUUAUGUCUCCUACUUGCUGUGAAAAUGGGGACACCUCCCUCUCCCUUGCCAGGGAGAGAGAGAACCUGUGGGUUGUCGAAUUUCGGAUGAAACGCAAAGCUUUUGGGACUCUACAUUCAACAGACCUGGGUCAGUUAGAGGAUAUUCAAGCAUCUAUUUGUGUCCUAGCAGGUAAGAUAAGAGAUUUAAGAGAUUAGCUUUAUUUGUCACAGGUAUGUUGAAGCAUCAAAACAAACAGUGAGAUGUGCUGUUUGCAUCAAAGACCAAAUCAAUCCAAGGAUGUGCUGGGGGCAGUCUGCAAAUGUCACCAUGCUUUCGGUACCAACAUAACAUGCCCACAACUUAUUAACAU